rnacentral:rRNA from 1 species
UACGGAGGGUGCAAGCGUUAUCCGGAUUCACUGGGUUUAAAGGGUGCGUAGGCGGGCAGGUAAGUCAGUGGUGAAAUCUCCGAGCUUAACUCGGAAACUGCCGUUGAUACUAUUUGUCUUGAAUAUUGUGGAGGUAAGCGGAAUAUGUCAUGUAGCGGUGAAAUGCUUAGAUAUGACAUAGAACACCAAUUGCGAAGGCAGCUUACUACACAACGAUUGACGCUGAGGCACGAAAGCGUGGGGAUCAAACAGGA